rnacentral:rRNA from 1 species
GAUGAACGCUGGCGGCGUGCCUAAUACAUGCAAGUCGAGCGAAUGGAUUAAGAGCUUGCUCUUAUGAAGUUAGCGGCGGACGGGUGAGUAACACGUGGGUAACCUGCCCAUAAGACUGGGAUAACUCCGGGAAACCGGGGCUAAUACCGGAUAACAUUUUGAACCGCAUGGUUCGAAAUUGAAAGGCGGCUUCGGCUGUCACUUAUGGAUGGACCCGCGUCGCAUUAGCUAGUUGGUGAGGUAACGGCUCACCAAGGCAACGAUGCGUAGCCGAGCUGGGAGGGUGAUCGGCCACACUGGGACUGAGACACGGCCCAGACUCCUACGGGAGGCAGCAGUAGGGAAUCUUCCGCAAUGGACGAAAGUCUGACGGAGCAACGCCGCGUGAGUGAUGAAGGCUUUCGGGUCGUAAAACUCUGUUGUUAGGGAAGAACAAGUGCUAGUUGAAUAAGCUGGCACCUUGACGGUACCUAACCAGGAAGCCACGGCUAACUACGUGCCAGCAGCAGCCGUAA